CAAUAGCGUAUAUUUAAGUUGUUGCAGUUAAAAAGCUCGUAGUUGGAUUUCGGAUGGGACUUGCCGGUCCGUCGUUUCGAUGUGCACUGGCCAGUCCUAUCUUGUUGUCGGGGACUAGCUCCUGGGCUUCACUGUCCGGGACUAGGAGCUGACGAGGUUACUUUGAGUAAAUUAGAGUGUUCAAAGCAAGCCUACGCUCUGAAUACAUUAGCAUGGAAUAACACGAUAGGACUCUGGCUUAUCUUGUUGGUCUGUGAGACCAGAGUAAUGAUUAAGAGGGACAGUCGGGGGCAUUCGUAUUUCAUUGUCAGAGGUGAAAUUCUUAGAUUUACUGAAGACUAACUACUGCGAAAGCAUUUGCCAAGGACGUUUNCAUUA
rnacentral:rRNA from 1 species